CCUACGGGUGGCAGCAGUGGGGAAUAUUGCACAAUGGGGGAAACACUGAUGCAGCGACGCCGCGUGAGUGAAGAAGUAUCUCGGUAUGUAAAGCUCUAUCAGCAGGGAAGAAAAUGACGGUACCUGAUUAAGAAGCCGCGGCUAACUACGUGCCAGCAGCAGCGGUAAUACGUAGGGGGCAAGCGUUAUCCGGAUUUACUGGGUGUAAGGGGAGCGUAGACGGCAGCACAAGUCUGGAGUGAAAUGCCGGGGCUUAACCCCGGAACUGCUUUGGAAACUGUGCAGCUAGAGUGCAGGAGAGGUAAGUGGAAUUCCUGGUGUAGCGGUGAAAUGCGUAGAUAUUAGGAGGAACACCAGUGGCGAAGGCGGCUUACUGGACUGUAACUGACGUUGAGGCUCGAAAGCGUGGGGAGCGAACAGGAUUAGAUACCCGGGUAGUC
rnacentral:rRNA from 1 species